GGAUCGGUAGCUCAACGGUCAGAGCGGGGCGCUCAUAACGCCUGGGUUGGGGGUUCGAAUCCCUCCCGAUCCACCU
rnacentral:tRNA from 1 species